GGGUGUGUAAGCGCUGUGAGGCGUUGAGCUAACCAAUACUAAUUGCCCGUGAGGCUUGACCAUAUAACACCCAAGCAAUU
rnacentral:rRNA from 1 species